UACGUAGGGUGCGAGCGUUAAUCGGAAUUACUGGGCGUAAAGCGUGCGCAGGCGGCUUUGCAAGACAGAUGUGAAAUCCCCGGGCUUAACCUGGGAACUGCAUUUGUGACUGCAUGGCUGGAGUGCGGCAGAGGGGGAUGGAAUUCCGCGUGUAGCAGUGAAAUGCGUAGAUAUGCGGAGGAACAUCGAUGGCGAAGGCAAUCCCCUGGGCCUGCACUGACGCUCAUGCACGAAAGCGUGGGGAGCAAACAGG
rnacentral:rRNA from 1 species